UAAUAUUCAUCAAGUUUGACCUCAAAUCAGGUAGGAUUACCCGCUGAACUUAAGCAUAUCAAUAAGCGGAGGAAAAGAAACCAACUGGGAUUACCUUAGUAACGGCGAGUGAAGCGGUAAAAGCUCAAAUUUGAAAUCUGGUACUUUCAGUGCCCGAGUUGUAAUUUGUAGAAUUUGUCUUUGAUUAGGUCCUUGUCUAUGUUCCUUGGAACAGGACGUCAUAGAGGGUGAGAAUCCCGUUUGGCGAGGAUACCUUUUCUCUGUAAGACUUUUUCGAAGAGUCGAGUUGUUUGGGAAUGCAGCUCAAAGUGGGUGGUAAAUUCCAUCUAAAGCUAAAUAUUGGCGAGAGACCGAUAGCGAACAAGUACAGUGAUGGAAAGAUGAAAAGAACUUUGAAAAGAGAGUGAAAAAGUACGUGAAAUUGUUGAAAGGGAAGGGCAUUUGAUCAGACAUGGUGUUUUUUGCAUGCACUCGCCUCUCGUGGGCUUGGGCCUCUCAAAAAUUUCACUGGGCCAACAUCAAUUCUGGCAGCAGGAUAAAUCAUUAAGAACGUAGCUACCUCGGUAGUGUUAUAGCUUUUUGGAAUACUGCUAGCUGGGAUUGAGGACUGCGCUUCGGCAAGGAUGUUGGCAUAAUGGUUAAAUGCCGCCCGUCUUGAAACACGGACCAAGGA
rnacentral:rRNA from 1 species